GACUGGGAACAAAGUAAAGGAAAAGGAGGCAGUGUGAGUGUGUUGAAAGGUUUUUUCAACGAUUAACAGUGACAACAAUUUGGCAGUGAAUUGAAAUUAAAAAAAAAAAGACUGAUUCUACCUAUUACUGUUUCCUCUGGUGCAGCCCACGUGCGUUCAUAUGUUCUGUAUAUAAUCAUCAUCUGUCUGCUUGUAGGUUUUAUGGUCCAGA
rnacentral:lncRNA from 1 species